CCUACGGGUGGCAGCAGUGAGGAAUAUUGGUCAAUGGACGCAAGUCUGAACCAGCCAAGUCGCGUGAAGGAUGACGGCCCUAUGAGUUGUAAACUUCUUUUAUAUGGGAGUAAAACAGGAUAUGCAUACCCUCUUGUAUGUACCAUAUGAAUAAGGAUCGGCUAACUCCGUGCCAGCAGCCGCGGUAAUACGGAGGAUCCGAGUGUUAUCCGGAUUUAUUGGGUUUAAAGGGAGCGUAGGUGGAUGGUUAAGUCAGGUGUGAAAGUCUGCGGCUCAACCGUAAAAUUGCAGUUGAAACUGGCAGGCUAGAGUAUAGUAGAGGUGGGCGGAAUUUGUGGUGUAGCGGUGAAAUGCUUAGAGAUCAUGAAGAACUCCGAUUGCGAAGGCAGCUUACUGGACUGCAACUGACACUGAGGCUCGAAAGCGUGGGGAGCAAACAGGAUUAGAUACCCUUGUAGUC
rnacentral:rRNA from 1 species